GCCGGGGACUGUGGCACAUGCCUGUAGUCUCAGCUACUCGGGAGGCUGAGGCAGGAAGAUCACUUAAGUCCAGGAGUUCUGGGCUGUCUGUAGUGCACUAUGCCGAUCAGGUGUCUGCACUAAGUUUGGCUUCAAUAUGGUGACCUCCCGGGAGCGGGGGACCACCAUGUUGCCUAAAGAGGGGUGAAUCCAUUCAGUUCAGAAACGGACCAGGUCAAAACUCCCGUGCUGAUCAGUAGUGGGAUUGCAACUGUGAAUGGCCACUGCACUCCAGCCUGGGCAACCUAGUGAGAGCCCAUCU
rnacentral:SRP_RNA from 10 species